UGCCAGUGGCCCCUUGCCAUAAGUAUUCAUGCCGGGCAAGAUGGCGGCGAUACAGAAUCGGUGUUAUUGCCAGUGGGCAUAAAAAAGGCAUUUUAUUUAAAAUAGAACAGCGAGUCAUAUCCAGUUAUACACUUGAACGCAUCGUGAGUGUAUCUGCCACGUAACCAGCGUCGACGUCUUUUUUAAUUUUACGCGUUUGAACGUUUUUCUUACAAAAUGUUCUCGUUGUAAGUCGCUCGCUAACCGACCAGCUGGCUAACAGAGAGCAGUUACUAGCUAGCUAUCCACCACAGCCAAGCCGCCGUGAAGUGUAGGAUGGGAGAAAAGCUGGAGCUCAAGCUCAAAUCGCCGGUUGGAGCAGAACCCGCUGGGUAUCCAUGGCCGUUACCAGUAUAUGAUAAACACCAUGAUGCUGCUCAUGAAAUCAUCGAGACCAUUCGGUGGGUGUGUGAGGAAAUCCCAGACCUCAAACUGGCAAUGGAAAAUUAUGUACUCAUUGACUAUGACACCAAGAGCUUUGAGAGCAUGCAGAGACUUUGUGACAAGUACAACAGGGCCAUUGACAGCAUUCAUCAGCUGUGGAAAGGGACAACCCAGCCCAUGAAGCUAAACAAGCGUCCUUCCAAUGGGCUGCUGAGACAUAUCUUACAGCAGGUGUACAACCACUCAGUGACCGACCCAGAGAAGCUCAACAACUAUGAACCCUUCUCCCCCGAGGUGUACGGAGAGACCUCUUUCGACCUGGUGGCCCAGAUUAUUGAUGAAAUGGAAAUGAUGGAAGAAGACACCUUUGUUGACCUUGGCAGUGGAGUAGGGCAGGUGGUGCUGCAGGUUGCAGCAGCAACCAACUGUAAACACUACUACGGUGUAGAGAAAGCAGACAUUCCAGCUACCUAUGCAGAGACCAUGGAUAAAGAGUUUAAAAAAUGGAUGAAAUGGUAUGGGAAGAAACACGGGGAGUACACACUGGAAAGAGGUGAUUUUCUGUCUGAAGAGUGGAAAGAAAGAAUCGCCAACACAAGUAUUAUUUUUGUGAAUAACUUUGCCUUUGGUCCAGAGGUAGAUCACCAGCUGAAGGAGCGCUUUGCUAACAUGAAGGAAGGAGGGAAAAUUGUAUCCUCCAAACCCUUUGCACCUUUAAACUUCAGAAUCAACAGUCGAAACUUGAGUGAUAUUGGCACAAUUAUGCGUGUGGUGGAGCUUUCUCCACUCAGAGGCUCUGUUUCCUGGACUGGAAAGCCAGUUUCCUACUACCUGCAUACCAUAGACCGCACCAUACUUGAAAACUACUUUGCUAGUCUCAAAAAUCCUAAACUCAGGGAGGAGCAAGAGGCAGCUAGAAGACGUCAGCAGAAGGACAGUAAAAGCAAUAGUACCACGCCUACAAAACCCAAGGAACCAAACAAGCAGGACUCCUGUGGUGAAGAGGAGCGUCCUAGCUUGGUGACUGUGGUCAAGCCCUCCGCUAAACCGAGAAGAACGCGACUCCUGGCCAAAGGUCGCAAGCUGAACAAUAAGAAACGUGGUCGACCCAAGAAAGCUACUCCAGCUGCUGAGAAGAAAAAUAAGAAGAAUCAGAGUGCGUUGGAUUUGCUGCAUGCCAAGACCCUUUCUGCAGCACCCCCUCAGGAUGCAUACCGACCACCUCAGAAUCCCUUCUACCAGCUACCUCCCAAGGUCCAGCACUAUACCCCUAGUCAACUUCUGCUGAGCCCAACUCCCCCUGGUUUGGAAAAACUGCUAGACAAUAUCAAAAUUCAGUACCUCCAGUUUAUGGCCUACAUGAAGACUCCUCAGUACCGCUCCAACCUGCAACAACUUUUAGACCAAGAGAAGCAAAAACACAGGGACCUAUCAGGGCAGGCGGAGCAGCUCCAUUUGGUCUGUCAGUCUCACAAGGAGAAGAUCAAAGGUCUCUUUCAGACUAAACUGGAUGAGCUGGGAGUAAAAGCCCUGACUGUGGAGGACCUCCUUCAGGCCCAGAAGGAGAUAUCAGCCCAUAACCUUCAGCUGAAGGAGCAAACCAAGCAGCUUGAGAGAGAUAUGGCUUUGCUGAGAGACCACAGCUUGCUGCUGCUGAAGUCUCGAUGUGAGGAGUUGAAGCUGGACUGGGGCUCUUUGUGUCUGGAGAGUUUGUUGAAAGAGAAGCAGGCCCUGCGCAAACAGAUCUCCGAGAAGCAGAGACAUUGCUUGGAGUUGCAGAUAAGCAUUGUGGAGCUGGAGAAAAGUCAAAGGCAGCAGGAGCUACUUCAGCUGAAAUCCUACAGCCCUGGCGAAAGCUCCCCGUAUAGAAAAAACCUGGAAUCUCGUGCUUCCACAGACGUGGACUCUUCUAAGCUCGGCCUGUCUACAGCCCCAGUUCUCAACGGUGUUAGCCCAGAGUUUACUAUCAACGGCACCAGCUCACCUUGUUUUGACCGGGUUAACUCCAAGGGUGAGCUUCUUUCUCGAUACCUGCCCAUAUCCCCGGACCAUGAAUUAGUGGCUGCCACCCCUGAUGCCCGACAGAGGCAGCAAAGCUUCUGUCAUGCUCUUCCUGACUACACGCGCUUCUCCCCUGCCAAGAUUGCCUUGCGUAGGCACCUUAACCAGGAUCCUACUGCCUCUGCUCACUUAAGAGGUCCAGGGCUGACCACACAUAGGGAUCUGGGUGGUGUUAACUCUCCACUUGGAGCCAAACAGAACUGCCCCUCUCCCAACGGAUGUGAUGCUCAGAAUAAUCUCAAAAGCUCAGAGAGGGGCAUUAAAGAGAGGAGUCCAUCUGUUCAGGGAGACAACAGCAUUACAAGCCUUCCUAUUAGUAUCCCACUGAGCACUGUUCACCCAAGUAAAUUGCCAGUUAGCAUCCCACUGGCCAGUGUGGUGCUACCCAGUCGUGCUGAGAGACUGAGAAGUACUCCGAGUCCUGUGUCACAGACCGGUCAGACCAAUGGAUAUUCAUCCAUCUCCAGCAUGAUGAAUGGAGGUCUGCACCCCGAGGACCACAAUGGCACUUCUUCACCACCUCCACACAGCAACACUUUAACAAUGGGCCGAGGCGGUCCGACCCAGAGCCCCCCUCUCAGCACUGGGGGGGUGCUCCAGUAUGCCGACGGACCCCCGAGGAUUGUUCCAGAAGAUGGACCGGAGGGCCAAGGAGGUGAAUCGGACGCAGAAGCCCAGGAGAGUGAACUGCGAAGGAGGAUCUUUUUCUCCUCCUCUUCUUCUUCAUCCUCGUCUUCCUCUUCGUCAGGCAGCGGGGGCAGCGCAGCCGGAGGAUCUCGCCUCCACCACCACACUGGCAACCCGGCCAAGCAGGGAUACCACAGUAACCAUGGAAACCACCAUCACCAAUCGCCCAGCACGCAGCACGCUCACACACCCACACAUAUGUCGUCAUCGCACUCCUCUCACAGCCUCUGCUCUCAAGAGGGACGCAAGCGGGGGAGACGGAAACGUGGCAACCCAGGGCCUGUUAUGGCCAGUGGAUCCCCAAAGAGAAGAUCAUUCCCUGGGCUCAGCUCCAGCAACCACUCCUCAGGAUCGCCACUCAAUAUCAACUCCAUGGUGAACAACAUCAACCAACCUCUGGAGAUCUCUGCCAUCUCCUCUCCAGAGCAAUCAAGCCGCAGCCCCGUUGGGCCUGACCUAGACCAACCUCCCAUCUUGAAGAGAGAGCGCCCCCUGGAGAUGAACGGCACGGGUCGAUAUUCCACAGCACCCAGCUCAGACGAUGAGGACUCGGGUUAUCCUGUUGACAGCUCCAGUUCUCGAAUUGAAAGAAAAAUAGCCACUAUAUCGUUGGAGAGCAGAGAUGGAUCUGGUAGACUCGGAGAUGGUGAACGAGGGAGAAAAUCAGGAAGCAGCAGUGGUAACAGCACCGGCAGUGAAGCCUCCUCAUCGUCAUCUUUGUCCUCUACCAGCAAAUGGAAAUCCACCUUUUCACCCAUUUCUGAUCCCAAACAACCCAACUCUGACCUGAGACAGGGGGGCUCUCCGUUUGGCAUCGGGGGUUCGGGUCGGGGCACAGACUCAGAUUCUGACCACAAACAGCAGCAGGUGAGGAAAGGGAGCGAUGGAGAGUCCAGCUACAGCAAUCCAAACCCUUUCCUCAGUCAGGAGGCAAGCACCAGGGGUGGAAGCAGCAGUGCUGGUGGUGCUCAAGGAGGAAGCAGUUCAGACCAGCGCCAGACCCUCCAGAAGCAGAAGGCCUCCCGUGACUGGGAGCUGAAGAACAGCGGCAAUCUGGCCAGUCAGAACCUCUUCAUUUCUGCUGCCGCCAGCAGUGGAGGAGGCAUUCUUAGUGGGAAAGUGGGAGGCAGUCCUGUAGCUGUUUCCUCGAGCACUGGGUCAUCUGUGGGGCAGUACCUGGGGGCCCAGUUCCCACUUGGAGGAACCUCAGUCUUGCAAUCUUUGUUUGGGGCCCAGACUGGUGGAUCCACGGUGACUGGGACCCCUCGGCUUGUCAACGGACACUCUGCCCUAGGAAGCUUCUCCAGUGCUGGGUUGGCAGGGGGAGCAGCUGGAGGUAUAUUUCACCACGUGGUUCCCUCAGUGUCCUCCCAUCAGUUUGGGGCAACGCUCCCCACCUCAGGAGGCCUCAACUCUCUGCUCAGUCUCCCCUCCUCCUCUUCCUCUACCUCCUCCCAAACCCAGCAACACACCACUCCCCAGCCAGCCUCCACGCGCCUGGCGCCCGUGUCCUCGCCUAUGCCCCUCUCGUUAUCCCAGGCCCAGCACAGCCGCACGCAGUCAGUCCUGCAUAGCCCCUCUCCUCCCACGCUCUCCCUGCCCCCUCCUCCACCCCUGCAUAGCGUCCCCUCCUCGUCGACAUCCACGCACUCUGACUCCCCAGCAUCUUCUCGAUCAGACUCCCUCCACUCCUCGCGUCUGUCCCUCUCCUCUCUCCACCAUCAGAGAGCACAAUCAUCCCUCUCCAUCUCAUCCUCUACCUCUGCUGCUUCUGUCUCUGCUGCUGCAUCCCUUUCCUCUUCCUCUCUCUCAGCCUCCUCUGCCUCCUCCUCUCGUCCAUUUGCAGUGCACUACUCCCCCCGUCUGCCCCCUCCGCCACCGACCAGCAGUUCUGGUGGUGCUGGGAGCAUGUGGAGGACUCAGAGCAUGCAUGGUACCUACACCACCUCCCAGCUCCCCAGCUCCCGACCUAGAUAGGGUUUGGGGCUGAGGGGAAGGGCGAGGAGAGGGGAAGGGCGGAGAACAAUCUGAGGGUGGAUAGAGGGUGAGCGAGAGAGGCUGGUAGGGAGUGAGAGAGACAGGAUGCCUGUUUUCCAUGUGCUUCUGCAAGCUGUUUGUCUGACUGAACAAGGUAAUUGAUGAAAACUACCUCAACAUUAAAUAAACUAUGCAAAUGUCCAGGUGUGGACCAAGGCACUCUCCUCAUUCACUGGUGCUUCAAACUCUGCACUACCCAAUCGCCUCCAAGACCGGCUUCUGUACUGGGAUCUUUGACACACACACACACACACACACACACACACACACACACACACACACACACACACACACACACUCUCUAACCACCACUAUGGUCACCCUGAGCAGAAUUCAUAGGUACUGGUCAUGUUUGUGUGGAGUAGUGUUGUCCAGCUCUGAGUGAACUUAAAUAUCGUGUUUGACUUUAAGGUGCUAUCUAAUCUGUUCAUAUGUAGUUUCUUUGUUCUGGUGCCAA